GGAGAGAUGGCCGAGUUGGCUGAAGGCGCUCGCCUGCUAAGCGAGUGUAGGGCAAAAACCUUACCGAGAGUUCGAAUCUCUCUCUCUCCGCCA
rnacentral:tRNA from 1 species